rnacentral:rRNA from 1 species
AGUGAACGCUGGCGGUAGGCCUAACACAUGCAAGUCGAACGGCAGCACAGUAAGAGCUUGCUCUUACGGGUGGCGAGUGGCGGACGGGUGAGGAAUACAUCGGAAUCUACUUUUUCGUGGGGGAUAAUGUAGGGAAACUUACGCUAAUACCGCAUACGACCUACGGGUGAAAGCAGGGGAUCUUCGGACCUUGCGCGAUUGAAUGAGCCGAUGUCGGAUUAGCUAGUUGGCGGGGUAAAGGCCCACCAAGGCGACGAUCCGUAGCUGGUCUGAGAGGAUGAUCAGCCACACUGGAGCUGAGACACGGUCCAGACUCCUACGGGAGGCGGCAGUGGGGAAUAUUGGACAAUGGGCGCAAGCCUGAUCCAGCCAUACCGCGUGGGUGAAGAAGGCCUUCGGGUUGUAAAGCCCUUUUGUUGGGAAAGAAAAGCAGCAGGUUAAUACCCCGCUGUUCUGACGGUACCCAAAGAAUAAGCACCGGCUAACUUCGUG